rnacentral:misc_RNA from 1 species
GAAAUUUCAAAUAUGUGCGCCCGUCUCAACUCUCUAAAAACCCUAUCACCCCGCGUCCGAUCAACGCUUCAAAAAUCCAAAUUAUAGUAUCCGGCUCUCUCUCUCUCUCUGCCCUCAAUUUUUCUUUCUUCUUUCCUUCAUUUUCUCUCUCUAGAAAAAAAUUCAAAUACGGAUCCACAGCCUUCGAUCCGAACCCUGAAACCCUAUUCCCUUAUCUCUAGAUUUUGUUCUUAUCUACACAAACUAUGCCAAUGAGGAAGGGAGCCAAGAGGAAGAGAGUCCAGAAAGACAAAGAAGAUGAAGCAAAAGCUUCUUCUUCUUCUCAAGAAAAUCACAAGCAGGAAUCCACCAAAGCUCCUACGCGAGCUAAAAGCGUCAAGGCCUCUAAACCCCAACCUGAGCCUGAAUACUUCGAGGAUAAGCGAAACUUGGAAGAUCUAUGGAAGGAAGCAUUUCCUGUUGGGACAGAGUGGGAUCAAUUGGAUUCAGUGUAUCAAUUCAACUGGAAUUUUUCCAACUUGGAAGAUGCAUUUGAAGAGGGAGGCAUUCUACAUGGAAAGAAAGUUUAUCUAUUUGGUUGUACAGAGCCUCAAUUGGUCCCUUACAAGGAUGAACAGAAAGUAAUUUGCAUACCUGCAGUUGUGGCCAUUACGUCUCCCUUCCCUCCUUCUGAUAAGAUUGGAAUUAACUCAGUUCAGAGGGAGUCUGAAGAAAUAGUUCCCAUGAAACAAAUGAAAAUGGAUUGGGUUCCAUAUAUUCCUCUGGAGAAUAGAGAGAGUCAGGUGGACAGACUGAAGUCUCAAAUUUUUAUUUUGAGCUGCACUCAGAGACGGUCUGCUUUGAGACUUUUGAAGAUAGACCGUGUUAAGAAAUAUGAGUACUGUCUGCCUUAUUUCUAUCACCCUUUUAAAGAAGAUGAGCUUGAACAAAGCACUGAAGUUCAGAUAAUUUUUCCAGCAGAACCAAAGCCGGUAUGCAACAGAGAGUUGGGAACCUAGAUCUUUGAGUUUGAUGGCUGCUUUUUGACUGAGCUUGGUUACUGCACACUUCUAUAAGUUGAAUUUUAUUUCUUGCCCCAUGUAGGUUUUCUGUGAAUUUGAUUGGGAGUUAGAUGAGCUCGAGGAGUUUACUGAUAAUCUAAUCAAGGAGGAGGAAUUAUCUGAAGAUCAAAAAGAUGCAUUCAAGGAGUUUGUCAAAGAGAAAGUUCGAGAAGCAAAGAAAGCUAACCGAGAGGCGAGGGAAUCCAGAAAAAAGGCCUUGGCAGAAAUGAGUGAGGAAACCAAAAAAGCAUAUGAAAAUAUGAGGUUUUACAAGUUUUAUCCUGUGGAAACCCCAGAUACUCCUGACAUAUCAAAAGUAAAGGCUCCAUUCAUAAACAGGUAUUACGGCAAGGCUCAUGAGGUUUUCUGAUUACAAUCGAGUAGGAGCAGCAUUGACAGAGAAUGCUGUAAAAGUUUGCUUUAGCUGCCAAAAGGUUGAAUUUGAAGAUUUUGUUUACUUCGAAGUUGGGAGGCAUACCUCUGGUGCCCUAUGAUACAUUUCUUUCAUCAAAGCUUUAGGUAUCAUAGUCAAAAGGUGUAAACUCUUAGUAUCAGAAUUUUUAGAUAUAGACAAUUGGAGGUGGCCAUCGCUAUAGGAAGCAUUUUGUAAGAUACAAUGUUGAGGCUUUUGAUAAUUUCAGUGUCUGGUUGAGCUGCAGGUGGUGAAAUUUCCCUGUCUUGCUCGAGUUUAUCUUGAUUUCCCUUGUAUCUCUCUCAAAUCUUUUGUUCUCAUACCAUGUUAUUACUUCUUGUAUGACCAAAAGUAAUACUUGAGAGAAGGUGAAUAAUGGAUUUAGUUUAUUUUUUAAGAAUUCUGUAUUGUGCUUUUC